GACGAACGCUGGCGGCGUGCCUAACACAUGCAAGUCGAGCGAGGAGAGUUCCUUCGGGAACAAACCUAGCGGCGGACGGGUGGGUAACACGUGGGCAACCUGCCUUGUAGAGGGAAUAGCCUUCCGAAAAGGAAGAUUAAUACCGCAUAACAUUACAGUUUCGCAUGAAACAGUAAUUAAAGGAGUAAUCCGCUACAAGAUGGGCCCGCGGCGCAUUAGCUAGUUGGUGAGGUAACGGCUCACCAAGGCGACGAUGCGUAGCCGACCUGAGAGGGUGAUCGGCCACAUUGGGACUGAGACACGGCCCAGACUCCUACGGGAGGCAGCAGUGGGGAAUAUUGCACAAUGGGGGAAACCCUGAUGCAGCAACGCCGCGUGAGUGAUGAAGGUUUUCGGAUCGUAAAGCUCUGUCUUCGGGGACGAUAAUGACGGUACCCGAGGAGGAAGCCACGGCUAACUACGUG
rnacentral:rRNA from 1 species